CAAGAAUACUUUGGUAGCGGGUUGCUGAAGAAACUGGGCUGUCGCAGCUUUUUUUGCAGAACGUGGGCGUUUUGGCCGUGGCCGCCUCCAUCAUCCCUCUCCUCCUGGUCACCGUCGCCCCGCUGCUGUUCCUCUUCCUGUACCUGCGCCGUUACUACCUCUGCACGUCACGCGACAUCAAACGUCUGGAGUCCACGGCACGCAGUCCCGUCUUCUCCCAUCUUUCGUCGUCCCUCCAGGGUCUGUGCACCAUCCGAGCCUUCGGAGGAGAGGAGAGACUAACCAAAGCCUUUGACUCGCACCAGGACCGACAUUCAGAGGCCUGGUUUCUCUUCCUGAUGACCUCCCGCUGGUUUGCCCUCCGUCUGGACAGCAUUUGCUCCGUCUUCAUCACCGUAGCGACAUUUGGGUG